UAGGGAAUCUUCCGCAAUGGGCGAAAGCCUGACGGAGCAACGCCGCGUGAGUGAUGAAGGUCUUCGGAUCGUAAAAUUCUGUUAUUAGGGAAGAACAAAUGUGUAAGUAACUAUGCACGUCUUGACGGUACCUAAGCAGAAAGCCACGGCUAACUACGUGCCAGCAGCCGCGGUAAUACGUAGGUGGCAAGCGUUAUCCGGAAUUAUUGGGCGUAAAGCGCGCGUAGGCGGGUUUUUAAGUCUGAUGUGAAAGCCCACGGCUCAACCGUGGAGGGUCAUUGGAAACUGGAAAACUUGAGUGCAGAAGAGGAAAGUGGAAUUCCAUGUGUAGCAGUGAAAUGCGCAGAGAUAUGGAGGAACACCAGUGGCGAAGGCGACUUUCUGGUCUGUAACUGACGCUGAUGUGCGAAAGCGUGGGGAUCAAACAGG
rnacentral:rRNA from 1 species